UACGUAGGGUGCGAGCGUUAAUCGGAAUUACUGGGCGUAAAGCGUGCGCAGGCGGUUUUGUAAGCCAGAUGUGAAAUCCCCGGGCUCAACCUGGGAAUGGCAUUUGGGACUGCAAGGCUGGAGUGCGGCAGAGGAGACUGGAAUUCCUGGUGUAGCAGUGAAAUGCGUAGAUAUCAGGAGGAAUACCGAUGGCGAAGGCAGGUCUCUGGGCUGACACUGACGCUCAUGCACGAAAGCGUGGGUCGCGAAUGGG
rnacentral:rRNA from 1 species